GGAGGGGUGGUCGAGUGGUCGAUGGCUCCGGUCUUGAAAACCGGCGAGGCGAAAGUCUCCGUGGGUUCGAAUCCCACCCCCUCCG
rnacentral:tRNA from 1 species